rnacentral:rRNA from 1 species
UAAAAACCCCGACUUCGGAAGGGGUGUAUUUAUUAGAUACAAAACCAAUGCCCUCCGGGGCUCUUUGGUGAUUCAUGAUAACUAUACGAAUCGCACGGCCUUGCGCCGGCGAUGGUUCAUUCAAAUUUCUUCCCUAUCAACUUUCGAUGUUUGGGUAUUGGCCAAACAUGGUUGCAACGGGUAACGGAGGGUUAGGGCUCGACCCCGGAGAAGGAGCCUGAGGAACGGCUACUACAUCCAAGGAAGGCAGCAGGCGCGCAAAUUACCCAAUCCCGACUCGGGGAGGUAGUGACAAUAAAUACUGAUACAGGGCCCUUUCGGGCCUUGUAAUUGGAAUGAGUACAAUUUAAAUCCCUUAACGAGGAACAAUUGGAGGGCAAGUCUGGUGCCAGCAGCCGCGGUAAUUCCAGCUCCAAUAGCGUAUAUUAAAGUUGUUGUGGUUAAAAAGCUCGUAGUUGAACCUUGGGCCUGGCUGGCCGGUCCGCCUCACCUCGUGCACUGGUCCGGCCGGGCCUUUCCCUCUGUGGAACCUCAUACCCUUCACUGGGCGUGGCGGGGAAACAGGACAUUUACUUU